rnacentral:ncRNA from 2 species
AUAAGUUGUUAGGGGUGCUCUCUUUCAUUUGAGUGCUGAGAUCAAACCCUUGAACCUGAUCUGGGUAAUGCCAGCGUAGGGAAACGGGCUGUGAUAAUU